UGGGGAAUAUUGCACAAUGGGCGCAAGCCUGAUGCAGCGACGCCGCGUGGGGGAUGACGGCCUUCGGGUUGUAAACCUCUUUCAGCCACGACGAAGCGUAAGUGACGGUAGUGGCAGAAGAAGCACCGGCCAACUACGUGCCAGCAGCCGCGGUAAUACGUAGGGUGCGAGCGUUGUCCGGAAUUACUGGGCGUAAAGAGCUCGUAGGUGGUUUGUCGCGUUGUUCGUGAAAUGCCACAGCUUAACUGUGGGCGUGCGGGCGAUACGGGCAGACUGGAGUACUGCAGGGGAGACUGGAAUUCCUGGUGUAGCGGUGGAAUGCGCAGAUAUCAGGAGGAACACCGGUGGCGAAGGCGGGUCUCUGGGCAGUAACUGACGCUGAGGAGCGAAAGCGUGGGGAGCGAACAG
rnacentral:rRNA from 1 species